GAUAAUUAUUGUUCAAACUGGUUCUUUCCAGUUCAUCAAUCAAUUCCCCUCUAAAUAUCUCUGCUCAUCAAUCACUUUUGUCUGCAUUUGAAACUCUGCCUUCGGUUCUCUCUCUCGAAUCCUAAGUUCAGUUGCCAUAGAAAUUUAGCAUCCCUCUGUCCCACCCCAACUCUGUUCCUACCACUACCAGAUAUAUCGUGCCUCCUAGCCGUUCUUGAAACUUUAUUCUCCUCCAAGUUUUUGCACUCAACUGACUUCCGAUCCCACGUAAACCCAUUACACUGGCCGUCCGAUUAACUUCAACAACACUCCCGUCAGCUUUUUCCUAUCAUUCAGACCUAUCUCGAGCAGGUUUGUUUUAUCAAUUUCUUGAACCCGUUCUUUGUGAUUUCAGUUUCCUCUUUGUGAUUUUUUGGGAAAAAAAUCGGUAGUUACGUGUCAAGAAUUGAAUUUUAUUUGCCAUUUUUAACACAUUUUCAACUUAAAUUAUUGGAAUAUUAUGAUGUCCAUGUUUUUUACUUGAAUUGAUUUCUUUAAUUGGGGAGAACAGUACUAGAGAUACAGCAGAUGCGGAGUCAGUUCUGCUGCACAUCCUCAUCCUCUUCUGCCAUCAUCUGUCGACAGAGAUUUGUUAUUCUUUUUUUUGGGUCAGGAAUUCUAAAGCAAAAUGACAUUUCUAGAAUCCAACUCUUGUUGUACUUUAUGAUAUUUCCCCUAGCACUUCUAUAAUAAUUUUUACCUCCUUUGGUUCAUACAGGAGGAGAAGCCUCAUUUCUUGUAAAUUGAAGACCAUCUAGACGAUAUGUCACACUUCCAUCUUUGAAUAUUAAAAAUUCUUAUUUUGUUUCUUAAGAUGUGGAAACUUCAAUUCUGUACCAAUGUAACUUGAUCAUGAGCAUUUUGAACUGACUUUUGCAGGAAAAAUAACAAUUAUUAUAGUGGCAGCCAUUGGUUCCAUAGUUCUCUUUUUUAUUGGAGCGUUGAUUGGAGUUUAUAUCUGAAAGCAAAUUACAAUGCAAAAAAAUUGGAAACAUAGACUGCAUUUAGCCUAUUUAAGUGUAACAUAUCAGCGGUAUAACACAGUUAUUCAAACAUAAGCUUCAAAAAUUUACUUUUUAUAGAAGAAUUUUUAGCAAUGGCUUCACUGCUUUCACCUGUGCAUUACGUUGCACUUUUCCCUAAAAGAUUCUUGAAUAAUUAUCAAGCACUCAAUGUUAUGAUAUUUAGGUAGAUGAGGUCUUUGAACACUAUUGAUGAUAUAUAUGAUGGUCUCAUCUCUUCCAAGCUUUGUGUGAUGCAGAGAAAUUGGCACAGAACUUUCAUCAUAGUAGCUCAAACUUCAAAUAUUCCACACUUGAGAAAGCAACUAAUUCAAAUAUUCCACACUUGAGAAAGCAACUAAGUCUUCUGAUGAAGCCAACAAGCUUGAGCAAGAUGGAUUUGCCACAUUGUAUAAGGGAGUUUUGCAAGUUGGAAGAAAUAUUGCUGUAAAGAGGCUUUCUUUUAACAACAAACAUAUAACAACCGAUUUCUACAACAUUAUCCUCCUCCAACUUACUGUAUGUGUGUGUAUGUUGUGAUUAUAUAUAGCUUAGAAAAUCAGGGUAAUAUGACAAUGAAUCUACACUUGCCAUAUAUUUUUCUUUAAAAUUAUGGAAAAUCUGUGGAUAAUUGAUUUGAUAACUGACUCUAACAGGUACUUCAUUCCAUGAAUCCACGAGCAAUUCAAAAGCAUUUCAGAGGAUGAAGAAGAAGAAGAAGAAGAGAAAGUAUAUUAGAUUUCUAUAGCCAAAUAAUUGGGUUUUAGAUCAUAAGUUUGUUUUUUGAUUUCAUGUUUUUCAUGGUAAUAUAUUUGCAUCUUGCACUAUUUGAUGAUGUUACUCUUGCCUUUUCGAGGGAAAGGUAUGAUUAUCAACAGAGAAACCUGGUUUAAAUCAGAGUUUUACUAGCAAAUUAUGUAAUUUGACCAAUAACAUCCAUUUCGUUGCAGGUUCAAAGGUUUUUUUGUGUAGUAGAAUAUCUUACCUUGCAAAUUCGAUUCAACAACAUAAUGUUUGAAGCAAUUUUCAAAUUUCUUAAGCAUGAGGAUUGGGUGGAUUGUGUAUUUACUAUUUAUGACUUUGGUUUCUCUUCACUUCAUUAAAAUGACAUUCGUUAUCUAGA